UACGUAGGGCGCAAGCGUUGUCCGGAAUUAUUGGGCGUAAAGAGCUCGUAGGCGGUUUGUCGCGUCUGCUGUGAAAACUCGGGGCUUAACUCCGGGCCUGCAGUGGGUACGGGCAGACUAGAGUGCGGUAGGGGAGACUGGAAUUCCUGGUGUAGCGGUGAAAUGCGUAGAUAUCGGUAGGAACACCAGUGGCGAAGGCGGUCUCCUGGAGCAGACUUGACGCUGAGGCACGAAAGCUGGGGGAGCGAACGGG
rnacentral:rRNA from 1 species